AUGCGAGGAACCUCACCUGACAAGGAAUGGAUCCCCAUCACCAAACUGGGCCGCCUGGUUAAGGUCUCUGGAGGAGAUCUAGCUUUCCUCCCUGUCCAUCAAGGAGUCUGAGAUUAUUGACUUCUUCCUGGGAGUGUCACUCAAGGAUGAGGGGUUGAAGAUUAUGCCGUGCAGAAGCAGACUCAAGCUGGCCAGUGCACCAGGUUCAAGGCAUUUGUAGUCAUUGGCAACUACAAUGGCCAUGUUGGUCUGGGGGUUAAGUGCUCCAAGGAGGAGGCCACUGCCAUCCGGGGGGCCAUCAUCUUGGCCAAGCUCUCCAUCGUCCCUGUGCGGCGAGGUUACUGGGGGAACAGGAUUGGCAAGCCUCACACUGUCCCAUGCAAGGUGACAGGCCGCUGCGGUUCUGGGCUGGUGCGCCUCAUCCCCACCCCCAGAGGCACUGGGAUCCUGUCAGCACCUGUCCCCAAGAAGCUGCUGUUGAUGGCUGGCAUCGAUGACUGCUACACCUCAGCCGGGGGCUGUACUGCUACCUUGGGGAACUUCGCCAAAGCCACCUUUGAUGCCAUCUCUAAGACCUACAGUUACCUGACCCCUGACCUCUGGAAAGAGACCAUAUUCACCAACUCUCCUUAUCAGGAAUUCACUGACCAUCUUGUGAAAACCCACACCAGAGUCUCCGUGCAGAGGACCCAGGCUCCAGCUGUGGCUACAACAUAGAAUUUUAUACAAAAAUAAGAAAGUGAAUCAAGC